rnacentral:rRNA from 1 species
CCCUUAGAUGUUCUGGGCCGCACGCGUGCUACACUGAUGCGAUCAACAAGUUUUUCCUAUGUCGAUAGACACGGGUAAUCUUUUGAACUCGCAUCGUGAUGGGGAUAGAUUAUUGUAAUUAUUAAUCUUCAACGAGGAAUUCCUAGUAGGUGCAAAUCAUCAGUUUGCAUCGAUUACGUCCCUGCCCUUUGUACACACCGCCCGUCGCUGCUACCGAUUGGUUGAUCUGGUGAAUUAUUCGGACUGCCGGCUGAAGGGGUUUCCUCAUCUGCCAGCGGAAAGUCUUGUUAACCCUAUCAACUAGAGGAAGCAGAAGUCGUAACA